ensembl:lncRNA
AGUCUUCCUAUAUUGGACAUCAUUAUUUACUCCUCAAUUCAACACGAUCUGCAAAUACUGGAGAAUCAAAACAUGAAAGAAGAUGCAGAAUGGAUAACAUCCCCAACAUUUUUGGAAAGCAAAGUUCAGAUCCUGUGACAGACUUCCAUGUGGCUUCAACAAUCAAUUUAACCUUUUUCCACACAAUUAAAAGAGUAUGAUGAUAUGCUGCACAGAAUUUGCUGAAGGAGCCAGUUGGAGUACUGGGAGAAAUGCAGGUGAUUGAGCUUGGUGAUUCUUCUGGACGUUUUAUAGGAUGCGAAUAAUCCCUGCUGAACAACGCAGCUGUGUUGUUUCAGACACCACAGGAGUCUGAUUGUGAAAACCCCGGCUGUACAGAUGAGGGCAGUCACCUUGAGAAGUUCACCUGAAGCCUGGCAAAGAGAUCCUGCACAAUCUGUGCUGUACUGCACUGGCCGAACAUUUUGGCUGCCAUUGUCUGUGAGGAAAAAGAAGUGCAGCAAUGCUGAAGGGCACAUCCAGAUUUUGUUAUUUGCUCCAUGCUGGUAGCAGGGCAGAUAAGGACUCUUUUUAAAGUGGUUUCAAUUUUAGUACCAAUCUGUUUGAAUCCUCAGUAGUUUUAAUGUUCAGCAUCUCAUAAAUCUUCUGUGUAGGAUUCCACAUUUAGGAGACAAGGAUGUUUUAUGUGAAGGCCACUCAAUCCAGGCUACUGCGUAGUACUUCUUUAAAAACAAUAGCUUUCAGUUCAGCAUCAGCUAGCAGUGACUUGCAAAGUUUUAACAGCAAAGUAACAGUGAGAUACUGAGUACUCAAGUACUGAAUACCAUGGAUUCAUUCUACAAUAGGAUCCCCAGACUUUGGAUUUCCUUUUCCCUACUAAAUACACUAGCCCUGGCUACACUGUAAAUGUGCAUUUGCAAUGCAAAUGGUCAUUGUGCCCCAGGAAGCUGUGCUUUAAGGUUAUCUGUUCUACCUGUUUUAAUAUCUGGCCUCAGAAGACAACAAAAAACGGUCUAAGUUCCAACUGGAUGGAAAUGAUUUACUUCUGAAGAGAGUCUCAGGUUUACCCAUGGGUCUGUGUAUGUCUGGUCUUUCCUGUUCAUCAGUAGGUGGCUGGCUGAUAAGAAGCGUGGGUUUUUUGGUGAAUAAAGGUGAAGACUACACCAAGUCAACCCACAGGAAGCCACCUCCCAAGCUUUCUCUUUCUGAGUUACCUUACCAGAGACAAGAGAUUACUCUUUCAGCACUUCAGUGGAAGACAUCUGGGCAACCUCUCCAGAUUUUCCUAAAUUGUAUUAAACAUAGUCAAGCAUACAAAUACACUUACAAACAAAGUAGAAAGACUUAUUUCAUGGUUUAAAACUGCACACAACUACAGCCUGACGCUGCUAUGGAAGUGUGAAAGACUCAUCUUUUCCCCGUUUUUGCUUAUUCUUAUGCUUCACCAGUUUCAGUAUUACAGUGGAAAGAACAAAUGUCUUUAUAUUUGUCUGGUACAUCCUGAUAGCUGUCUGUGACAUGCAUAUACAAGCAGUAUUAAAACUGAUCAUGUGGAGGGCAAAACUGCAACUCCAGUAUUGCUCUGAGCUUUGUCAUGAUGUAGGCUUUACUACUGUUUGUUUCUUGCAGGCAAUUACCUAACAGUUUGGUAAACUGUCUAUCAAGCUUGCACACCAGAAAUGACCAGGCAUAACAGAAAGACAGAGAAUGAAUUACGUGUGAAAUAGAAUACAAGUUUCUACUGUGGAAUUUUCCAAUGCAGCAUGAAAAUCCUAUUUGGAUAUUUAUAGGAGAUGAAAUAAUACAACUCAGAGAAUUUUCCACUGGGUGAAAAAAUCAUUAGCUUUGUUUUUGCUUUCCCGUGUACUUAACUUCCAGCAAUCCCAUUUCUGUUCUUCAAAGGAGAUGUUUAACCAGAAGUAUCUGAGCCAGAAGAGUUACAUAACAAGAUGUAGGGUGUUUUGUAGGUUUUUAUUAUUAUUUUAAUGUUCUUAUUGUGUUUAUGGCUUAGAAACUAUUUCAAGGGACUGACACAGCUGGAUAACUUUGUGCAAUGAACUAGGUUUAUAUAAACCCAUCUCAUACAAGAGAGAGUUGAAGAUUGUGCAAUACAAUGCCUAGAUCCCAUAUACGUGUGUUCAAAUACACCAAUAUAUUCUGUUUAAAAUACAUUCUCUGAGUUCCUGGAGUUGAACUCAUGUUAGGUAAUUGGAUAUAGAAAAUUGCUUUGUUUUGUUCCUACAUCUAAAGAUAAUUUCCAGAGCCAUCAGAGGUUAAUGACAAACAAUUUUAGCUCAGUCGAGGGUUUCAGAAAGGUAAAAAACUACCAGGAAGAAGUGAGGUGAUUAGCAAUUGAUCUUGUAAUGUUUCAUGCCAUUAUAAUUGUAAUGAUUAUAACAAAGACUUUUGUGUUCCCCAUCCCUUAUAAAAUAAUAUGCAAUAACGACUGUCAAAAACAAGUUUUACUAAAAGACGUAUUUGACCAUAAGAUUUAGGCUGUUGUUGAUUAAGUUUACGUACCUAGUGACUACUUCUUUCAAUAUUAACUCCACUUCACUUUCUCUUGCUUCUAAUAGUAAGCAGAUAC